rnacentral:lncRNA from 1 species
CCCAUCAGCACACACAUCAUCCGGGGUUAAAUCUGCCAUCUGUGGUAUAUAGGUAGAAACAUAGAAAACAUUAAUUGAGAGAUAAAAAUAGCCCCACUCAUCCCAUUAGCAUACAUAUCAGCUGGAAAGAAAACAGUACUAAAUGCCCCCCUAGGCUUAGCAAUUUGAAGCUGAUCAUGCUGAAUAAUCCGAACAAAUGAGGAAGGCAAA